CACACAGUAAACGAUAAUCACUAGGUGUCGGGUUCGUAGAGAAUUCGGUGCCGUAGCUAACGCGAUAAGUGAUUCGCCUGGGGAGUACGAUCGCAAGGUUGAAACUCAAAGGAAUUGACGGGGGCCCGCACAAGCGGUGGAGCAUGUGGUUUAAUUCGAAGCAACGCGAAGAACCUUACCCGGUCUUGACAUCCACGGAAUCCUUCAGAGAUGAGGGAGUGCCGGUUUACCGGAGCCGUGAGACAGGUGC
rnacentral:rRNA from 1 species